UCUCGGAUAAGAGAAACAAACGAUGAUGCGUUGUUUGCAUACACUCAAUCGCACUCGUUAGUCGUUUCUCGCUCUGAAACCUGGCGUGAUUAAGGGAUUUAACUCCUUGGCAUAAAAUGACGAGGAAGUACCUGAGACGCGGUGAUCCCGGAAGUACAUUGCGGAGUCGGCAAAGAGUGCUUCCUGGUUUCCCUCCAUGGGGACAGUAGAUAAGGAUUCAAGGAUGGGGAAUCUGGAUCAAGACAUCGUGGAGGUUCGAAGGAAAAGAAUGCGUGUUUUUGAACGCCUCGUGUAUCGAACGCUGGGAGCGGCGAAGUAUUGAAAAAGUUUCCAAAAGUGGAUUCGGUUUCAAAGUUGGAUCGAUACGUGUUUGCGGUGUGAUUUCGCCGAGGGAAUGCUUCGAAUUCCAAUUUUGUUCUCGCAGUGUAUGGAACAACUCGGUGGAACGGCGCAUCAAUCAUCAAUUUCAGUUUCGAUUCUCCACUGAGACAAAGUUAUUGUUUGGAACAGCCAUUGCAAUUUGUUCGGAAGAAUCCGAUGCGAAAGAUCGCUUUGCUCGGAGCAUUUUCAUUAUUUUUGUAAUAAACAUGGUUAAUCGUGCAAUUAUUGACACUUUGAGAGAUGAUUGUCAAAAGGUUGUAUGAAAAAUGUUAUGAAAAAAAUGUACGGAAAUUGAUAUUUUUAAGUUUCUGUUUUUUAUAUUGUCGUACGUGUUCAUUAAUAAAUAAAGAAAUGUCAAUCUGGAAA